CAUGAAGGACACUUAGUGCAAGAG
rnacentral:miRNA from 1 species